rnacentral:rRNA from 1 species
CAGCCGCCGCGGUAAUACAGAGGGUGCAAGCGUUAAUCGGAAUUACUGGGCGUAAAGCGCGCGUAGGUGGUUUGUUAAGUUGGAUGUGAAAUCCCCGGGCUCAACCUGGGAACUGCAUCCAAAACUGGUGAGCUAGAGUACGGUAGAGGGUAGUGGAAUUUCCUGUGUAGCGGUGAAAUGCGUAGAUAUAGGAAGGAACACCAGUGGCGAAGGCGACUACCUGGACUGAUACUGACACUGAGGUGCGAAAGCGUGGGGAGCAAACAGGAUUAGAGACCCCCGUAGUCCCUGUCUCUUAUAC